UACGAAGGGGGGCUAGCGUUGCUCGGAAUCACUGGGCGUAAAGCGUGCGCAGGCGGUUUUGUAAGCCAGAUGUGAAAUCCCCGGGCUUAACCUGGGAAUGGCAUUUGGGACUGCAAGGCUGGAGUGCGGCAGAGGAGACUGGAAUUCCUGGUGUAGCAGUGAAAUGCGUAGAUAUCAGGAGGAACACCGGUGGCGAAGGCGGCCCACUGGAUCGGUACUGACGCUGAGGUGCGAAAGCGUGGGGGAGCAAACAGG
rnacentral:rRNA from 1 species